UGCCCCGCCCCGCGCCAGUUAUCCAUCCACGCCUCCUCCUCAAUGCUCCUCCUCCUGCCCCGUGCCCCGCCUCUGUCAGCCCUCCGCCAUCGACGCCUCCUCCUCCCGCCCCCACGCCCUGCCACCGCUGGGGAGCGGGUGCCGCUGCUGCGCCCCGCUGGCCGUCCUCUCCCUCCUCGCCACCGCCGAAGAGUGGGCGCCACGCCACCGCUGGGGAGCGGGUGCCGCUGCUGCACCCCGCUGGCCCUCCUCUCUCCUCCCCACCAUCGCCGGAGAGCGGGCGCCGCCGCUGCGCCCCACCACCCUGGGGACAGGGUGAUGGAGCUCCCAAUACUAACCAACUAAAGAUUUUAACUGCUGCCCUUUGUAGAUUUUGAAAGAAGGAGAUACGCCAAACCAUGGGGAAGAGCAAGGCGUCCGCUAAGCCACCCCUAUGACGUAGAUGAACAAUCUCGACGCUGUCUUUUCCUGCCCAUUCUGCAAUCAUGGGAGCAGCAUUGAAUGCCGGAUUGAUAUGCACAACCUGAUUGGUGAGGCUACUUGUCAAAUCUGCCAGGAAAGCUUUAGCAUCACUGCAAAUGGUACAGAUACAUAGAACUGUAGAUUGUACAUAGUCAUGCCGCUCCUUUAUUUUCCUGUUUUUAGUCCGUGAAGCUCUCUUUGUUGAGGGUGAAGAGAUACAUUGGCAAUUCAUCCUCGUGGUUUAUCGGAAAGAAAAGCGUCUGUAAGAACAGUACUGAAUAAUAUCUGCACCAUGCAUCUCAAGAAAAUAAAGAAUCUUAGUCAAAACAGGAAACUAUUGCUUGUCCGAUUUGCAGUCCAAGUUAUACAUAGAACUGUAGAUUGUACCUUCGUCAGACCGCCGUCCUCACCCCAUCAUCGUGCACCCCCGCCUGUCUGCUCACGCAUUCACAUUGAGGAAGAUGAUGAGAACCUCGGCCACGCCGCCAUCCUCUCCCCGUCAUCAUCCCUUUGCAGCUUUUCCUGUCCCGACCGCUGGAGCUUCUCGCCGCAGGGCACAAGCACCUUGCAAUCGCGGUGUGCUUCUCCCCUAGUGCUGUCAUAUAGACAUCUUGCAAGUAAGUGACCGUCAAUCCAACUGUUGUCUUUCUCUGCACUAGAUUUUAGUUGCUUUCUUACUUUGUCUUGAAGAAACAUCAUUUUUAAGUGUAAUUUAUUAUAGCUCACAAUCAUAGAUUACUGUAAUGCAUAAUUACUUUGCAUGUGUCAGCCAUUCUGAAUAGGGAACAUUCUUACGGGACAUCAUGUUCACUUGGCAUACUUACUGGAUUGAGGAAGAAAUUUUGAAAUGUUUCUCAAACCAGAGUGUUUUAUUAGUUGUGGGCUUUGGGUAGUUCAGCAUGUUCGUCUGAGCUUAAUUCAGAAGCUUGCUUUGUAAUUAUAUUAAAAAUCAUUUUGUAAAAUGAUCUAUAAAAGUUGAACUUCUCACCAAAAUUAUAUCCCUGAAGUUAAAUCAAGUGAAAAAUUAGUGUCCUGCAGUGCAGUUACUUGCAGCUUGGACCGAUCUGAUGAAAAAAUUGUUCUGUUGAAAAUCUGGCAGAUAGUUUUUCUGCUGGCAAUAUAAUUCACUUGAUUGGAUGUGCUUGUUUUGGAUGAAAUGAUAGAAUCGGUGUUGUACUGUUGUUCUUGAUUUUCUCACUUAUUUAGUAGUGUUGGACGGGCAUUCUAUUCAUCUUUUAAGACCACUUUGGAGAUGGUACGUGAUUGAAAAGGUCGGACUUUCCUGGUAGCAAGAGUAUCUUAUAUGACCAUGAAAAUCUGAUAUGCUAUUGUUCCUAUAGAUUCAAUAACUCAGAUUAAGUAACAUGAUAGAUUUCAUCAUGCCUCACUAUGAAAUCUUGUUUGGUUGCAGUGCAAAGGUCAAUUGAGAAUUUGAGAUCCUUUGUGUACAACUGUAGAUGCUUGCUUGUCGACUGCCUAGAGACUUUGGUUCUGAAAAAAUUUGUGCUGGAUCGCAGGAUGUCGCUGAUAUAUGGUCGUUUUUGUUUAGAAAAAAAGUCGUGUUGUGUUACUGAUUAGGAUAGUAGUAGAUGUCAAUCUCACAAGAGGAUCUGUUCACAUGGUUUCUGAAACUACAUAGCAUUUUAUUAGUUAUGGGUUGGGGCAGUCUUUGUGUUUUCCUCGCAAGAAAAUAUAAACGCUUAAUGUCUCGAUGCAUUUGAAAAAGAGAAUGGCAAAACAAAACAUAUAGUUUACUUAAGGGUUACAUGAGUGCCUCUGAAUUUUAAAAAAUGGCAGCAAUAGUUUCAUGUUUUGACUAAGAUUCUUUAUUUUCUUGAGAUGCAUGAUGCAAGUAUUAUUCAGUACUGUUCUUACUGACGUCUUUUUUUCUGAUAAACCACGAGGAUGAAUUGACAACAUAUCUCUUCACCCUCCAGAAAGAGAGCUUCACAGAGGCCCUCCUGAUGUGGGAGAUCAUAAGAGCCUAGAAAUGCGAAUGAGCCUGGAAGGAUUAUUUCGUUGGUGUUGAGAGCGAAAUAUUUUGUGUUGGAAAGUUAGCUGUGGACCCUGUGUCAGAGCUUUGGGAUCAUUAUCCUGCCGGUGCAAUGGUCAUGCAUCAAGCAUACACGUUUUACUUUUAAUACACGACAUUUUUAGGUGCAUAACAUAGAUUUUAUCCUGUAAAGUAGUGUGAGCUAUUUCAUAUGCUCGAGUGUGAAUUAAUUGCAUGGGAUGCCACUUCUGCUGGUUGGGACGCUGAUGGCGUGUGUGCUUGUUGCCGCUGCUCGCAUGUGGAUGAGUAGUAUAGUGCAAAACUGGAUUAGCUUGGGACAUAUGUGCUUCAAUACAUUUUUUCUUUUGGGCUUUAAUAUUCUACUAAAUUUCUGAUGGAUAAAACAUUUAUUCCUUGUUUUCUUACCGUCUAAUGUGUUUGGCACUUUUUGUUUCAGAUUUUCCCCUCUUCUUUAUGCAGCAGGUACAAGGUCUCAACAUGUUGAAGGCUACUUCCAGACUUCCAGUUCUUCCAUUUUCAUUUUCAUCUUACUGUUUUUAAUGCAUUUUUCUACAGUAUAAGGACUUGAGGUGAUUUGUGGAUUGUAGGGCAUGGAUCUUCACAGUGAUGUUAGCUCUAUACUGAAUGUAUCAAAACAUUGUUAUGGUUA